rnacentral:tRNA from 13 species
GGGCGGUUAGCUCAGUUGGUAGAGCAUUUACUUGACGUGUAAAGGGUCAUAGGUUCGAGUCCUAUACCGCCCA